UUCGUAGGUGGCGAGCGUUGUUCGGAUUUAUUGGGCGUAAAGGGUUCGUAGGGGGCCGGUCAAGUCUGAUGUGAAAGCCCGGAGCUCAACUCCGGAAUUGCAUUGGAAACUAAUUGGCUAGAGCGUCGGAGAGGAGAGUGGAAUUCCUGGUGUAGCGGUGGAAUGCGUAGAUAUCAGGAGGAACACCGAAAGCGAAGGCAGCUCUCUGGACGAUUGCUGACCCUGAGGAACGAAAGCGUGGGGAG
rnacentral:rRNA from 1 species